AGCAGUCACACGUGUACUGUUGUCACGUCGAGACUCGGAUUCACUCACACCCUCUUAAAUUGUUCUGGGAAGGAACUGAGUUCACAUGUGCUCACUAUCAUCUUUGGCGUGCAAGCGCCGAUGAAUGAUGCCGAUGACGGGUAUGGCGGGGCGUUGAUAAGGCGACUUUGCCUUAUAAUGAAUUGGAAUACGUUCGGAUCAGUUUUCGGUGGUUAAGACUGGAAAAACUGAGACAUCUAUUUGAGGCACGGUGUUUUUUUUUCGAGUGAGGCAUCCAGUGAUAAAUUAGGGUCUGGCGUCUAUUAUCCAGCCAUACCGCAUCAUAGCUAAGGAAGGUAUGGCAUUCAUUUUUCAAGGGGUGUGUCAUAAAUUGGGCCACAUGAUGGCUAAUUAAGCUUGACGGGAUUCGUGUUUUUUUUAGGUUAGUUGGUUAUUUUAAGAGAAAUAAAAAUACAUGGAUUUGGGGUAGGGUGCGUAUUUAUUUAAGACGGUUUAUUUGAGGAAUGCCAUUUGUUGGGAUGCUGCACCCAGCACUAAAUUUGGUUAUGCUGUCUACUGGCCACAAUGCAAAAAUAUGUAAAUACGGUCUGAUUCAGUGCAGAAUGUUGUAGGUCAGUUGUUUGGUUUAGCAUAAAAA